AGCAGCCGCGGUAAUUCCAGCUCCAAUAGCGUAUAUUAAAGUUGUUGCAGUUAAAAAGCUCGUAGUUGAAUUUCGGGAUCAGCGCGUCGGUCGUGCCUCCGGUAUGCACUGGCGCCGCUGGUUUCUCCCUUCUGAGGAACCGUGAUGUCAUUAAUUUGGUGUUGCGGGAAAUCAGGACUGUUACUUUGAAAAAUUGAGUGUUUAAAGCGGGCACGCGCUUGAAUACAUUAGCAUGGAAUAACGAAAUAGGACGUUCGAUCUUAUUUUGUUGGUUUCUAGGAUUGACGUAAUGAUUAAUAGGGAUAGUUGGGGGCAUUAGUAUUCAAUUGUCAGAGGUGAAAUUCUUGGAUUUAUUGAAGACUAACUACUGCGAAAGCAUUUGCCAAGGAUGUUUUCAUUAAUCAAGAACGAAAGUUAGGGGAUCGAAGACGAUCAGAUACCGUCGUAGUCUUAACCAUAAACUAUGCCGACUAGGGAUCGGAUGAUGUUAAUUUUUUAAUGUACUCAUUCGGCGCCUUAA
rnacentral:rRNA from 1 species